GCUGGCGGCGUGCUUAACACAUGCGAGUCGAACGCGAAAUCCGUAGCUUGCUAUGGAGAGUAGAGUGGCGCACGGGUGAGUAACGCGUGGGUAAUCUACCCUUGAAUUUGGGAUAACUUACCGAAAGGUGGGCUAAUACCGGAUAAUAUCUUAGUGAUUUAGGUGAUUAAGAUCAAAGAUAGCCUCUGUUUCAAGCUAUUGUUUGGGGAUGAGCCCGCGUACCAUUAGCUAGUUGGUAGGGUAAAGGCUUACCAAGGCUUCGAUGGUUAGCUGGUCUGAGAGGAUGAUCAGCCACACUGGAACUGACACACGGUCCAGACUCCUACGGGAGGCAGCAGUGAGGAAUUUUGCGCAAUGGGGGAAACCCUGACGCAGCAACGCCGCGUGAGUGAUGAAGGUUUUCGGAUCGUAAAGCUCUGUCAAGUGGGAAGAAGUUAUAUAUCAUUAAUAGUGAUAUAUAUUGACGGUACCACUGAAGGAAGCACCGGCUAACUCCGUGCCAGCACCCGCGGUAAUACGGGGGGUGCAAGCGUUAUUCGGAAUUAUUGGGCGUAAAGGGCGCGUAGGCUGCUUUAUAAGUCAGAUGUGAAAGCCCGGGGCUUAACCCCGGAAGUGCAUUUGAAACUAUAAGGCUUGAGUAUGGUAGAGGGAAGUGGAAUUCCUGGUGUAGAGGUGAAAUUCGUAGAUAUCAGGAGGAACACCGGUGGCGAAGGCGACUUCCUGGACCAAUACUGACGCUGAUGCGCGAAGGCGUGGGUAGCAAACAGGAUUAGAUACCCUGGUAGUCCACGCAGUAAACGUUGAACACUAGGUGUAGCGGGUAUUGACCCCUGCUGUGCCGCAGUUAACGCAUUAAGUGUUCCGCCUGGGGAGUACGGCCGCAAGGCUAAAACUCAAAGGAAUUGACGGGGGCCCGCACAAGCGGUGGAGCAUGUGGUUUAAUUCGACGCAACGCGAAGAACCUUACCUGGAUUUGACAUCCUGGGAAUCUUUUAGAAAUAAGAGAGUGCCUUUCGGGGAGCCCAGUGACAGGUGCUGCAUGGCUGUCGUCAGCUCGUGUCGUGAGAUGUUGGGUUAAGUCCCGCAACGAGCGCAACCCCUAUCUUUAGUUACCAUCAUUUAGUUGGGGACUCUAGAGAUACUGCCCCGGUUAACGGGGAGGAAGGUGGGGAUGACGUCAAGUCCUCAUGGCCUUUAUAUCCAGGGCUACACAC
rnacentral:rRNA from 1 species